CUCAUGCCAAUUCUAUUGGUGCAGAAUUCCACCAACGUCGGAGAAGCUGGAGUGGAGAUGACCGCGGCCACCGUCGGGACCUGCAAGGAAAGUCUAAACCAGAGUUGGGGGUGCUCCGGCAAGAUCCUCUGAUGCUCAAGUCAGUACUCUGCCUCAACAGAAAUAGAGUGCCUGAAUGAAAAUUUUAGCAGAGUUUUGAGAUAGAGUUUUGAGCUUAGAGAAGAACGUAUCUGGGGGUCCCUUUUUAUGGAUGGAGAGCGUAAU
rnacentral:lncRNA from 1 species